GCUUUGUCAAAAGCCACCAUCUUUCCGUUCACUUUUAUGGAAGUCAGCCCUACAUAAUAUUCAGGAGAGAGUCUGUGGGUAUUUGGAUCCGAAUCUCUUCCAAGCGGGUUAAAGAUAAGAGGAGUGUAAAGAAGUGAUUUUGAGAGGUCAACUCCAUGUAAGAAAUUAUAAGGCCCUUUACUACCGAAAAGAGCCACACCAGGUUGAGACGUGGAUCCUGACAAGCACAUAGCAAAACAAUUUGGAGAGGAGGAGAAGGCUUUAUUGAUCUGUACUGGGAUUGAGAGGUUCGAGUUGCCCAGGGAGGCUAAGCCAGUUACACCCUUAGCUAGGCCUUUCAGAAAACCAGUUCGAGCACAGGAAAAGAUGAAAUUAUCGAUCGAGGAAAGGGAGCCUAGGUUAUUGAGCAAGGCGAGAUAGUCAACAAGGGCAUCGUUGAGGCUAUUAACUUUUUUGUAGUGAACAGUUUCGAGGGGUUUGUCAAGGAGGAAGAGGAAAGAGUUGUUUGCACAAUUUGGACCCGGUGGACCGUCGCAAAUGUCCUCGCAACCGUAAGCACUAAGAGAAUUAGCGAUGGAACUGUUACAGGGGACAUGCUGGUAAGUGGAGGAAAUGUAGUCGUCGCAAUUUACCCAGCUGUAUGUAGCACCAAGAUCCAAGACCAAUUUGGUGGGCAUGAGAGGGGUUUUUAGGUAUGCAGUGAUGAUAUAUUGGCUGGUUGAAUGGUCCUUCUGGAUUGGCGUUUGGAGGGGCGUUUGGAGGGGAGGAGCUGCCUGAGAAGGGAUACACGAUAAGAGGAAGAAAAAAAUCAGAAGAGGGACUGCUAGCUUUGCCAUUGAUAAUUGUUUCGAGUGUUGUUGAGAGCAGGACUAAUUAUGAUCUAGAUAAUCAUGUGAGAGUCAUUUAUAGAGUUGCCAUGGAGUCCUCUGUUACAUGGGAAGUACGUGCAUGUUCUGUUCUGCCGGCGAUGAAUCUCAAGAUCUCUCUGUGUGCUGCACAUGACGGCAUACCGCUUAGGAAUUUUGCCUCCUGUAAUUGACUUGACUCGGAUAAAGAAGCAACUUGUAGCAUUCUGUGAGUGUGUGUCUUCAUGGAUAACACAACAGUUUCCUAAAAGUUGAUUGAUAUAAAUGAUUCGUUAAAAAAAUAUAUCUCGGAGAAACGUGUUUUGACUCUUGGUCAACGCAGAUAUAUUCCCUAAUGUUUUAAAUUUCAAUUUUUUUUUGUUGUAAUUUAUAUAUUCUUGAAUUAAAACCAGGUUAUAUUUAUUAGUUUAACCCACUAACCUACCUUUAUGAAGGUGAACAACAAAAUUAUUGAGAUUUAGUUAGUGUUUGGCAAAGCCCGUAGAGUGUAUUUUUAAAAACAUUUGAUUGUUUAAAAUUAAUUGUUUUACUGUUUUUAAAUUAUUUUUAUGUAAUGAUAUUAAAAAAAAUUUAAAAUUAAUAAAAAAAUUAUUUUAAUAUAUUUUGAAAUCAAUCAUAUAUAUAUAUAUAUAUAUAUAUAUAUAUAUAUAUGUAUUUGCAAAUUGAAAAUAUAUUAAUAAUGCCUACCUAUUUUUGUAUUGAAAUAUAUAAUUAAUAAUGCCAAACAUUUUCACGUAAAAACUACUUUGACUACAUCCAUUUCUAAAUGAAUAACAACCAAUAUUUCUAUAUGACAUUAAUUACAUUUCAUGACUUCACGUAAAACUUCUGUAAAAUUACAAGUCACAUAAAAUCACAUCAAUAAUCAUUACUUUAUAAUGACUUUAGCCAAAGCUUUUUUUUUUAUAUAUAUAUAUAUAUAUAUAUAUAGAUCAACACUCCAAUCAUGCUCCCACUGACUUCGAUGCCAUCACAAGACCAGCGGGAGAAAUGGUCGGAUUUGGCAUACUGUGUGUCACUGUCGGUGGCUUGUAUGUGGUGGAAGGAUUUGUUUUUUAUCGAUGGAAUCGUGAUUUUGGAUGGGCCAGGGGAGGGGAUAUUUUGGGGGGGAGGGAUAUUGGUGAGAACCUUGAAUAAUCCACCUUCAUUUCUCAUGGAAAGGUCUGCAUUAAACAUAAAAAUAUUAAUAAAUGCUAAGAAUUGUGCACAGAAAUAUAAAACGAAGAAGUGGAAUAUUUGCUAAAAAGAAAGAAUAAUAUUUUUAUAUCCAAUUCUUUUAUUAAUCACAUUAAAUAUUGUGCUUAUUAAUUCACUAUUCAUCAGAACACAAACCAUUGUUCUCUGCAACAAUUUUUUGUUUCACUUAGAAUUAUCUUGCUACUAUAAAAAAUACUAGUUGAAAUAUUGGAGAAAAAUUUUAAACACAUUAAAACAGAAGCCCAUAUGAAUAUUUACCUAGUAAAUAGUUACUUUUCACUGAGUGAUGAUGUCUAAAAAAAUCAAAGUAAUCUAGGAAUAGAGCUUUCGGAUUGAAUAAUUACUUAAUCAAUUGUUUUGAAUGUUUCAUGGUGGAUUUAUAGUUCAUGAGUUUUUUUUUUUUAUAUAGAGGAUUGUCUAUAGUGUAAUUUUACCCUUAUGAUAUUUGAAGUUGUAUUCUACUUAAAAUAAAACGUAUUAAAUCAAUAUAAAAUACUAAGAGAUAAAUUCUCUGAUGAGUGUUGGGCUUAGACAAGGUGUCUGAGCCCAUAAGAGGUGAAAGUGGGUAUGGGUGGGUUGCCUAGACCUAAACAUGCUAGGCUUGGGCUUGACAACUCAAGCCCAUAAAAGGUGAAAAUGGAUCUGGGCAUACUACUUAGACUUAAACACGUUGGGCUCAGGCAUGAAAUCUUGAUCCCACUAGAGGUGAAAGUGGGUUUAGGCGCGCUAUUUGGACCAAAGCAUGUUGGACUUAAGGCAUGGAAUCCCAAGCCCAUAAUAAUGCUGAGGUGGACGCCCAGCACCAAAGGUGCAGGGCAUGCGCCCUGCAUGGGCUCGAGCAAUAGCCUGAGCCCCCUCUUCUUGGGCCCCUAUAGUAUUUUGGGCUUAGAAAUCAACUUAGGGAUUGUUUUUAAUUGAAAAGACGAGAGAUGAGAAUUAACUUAAGGAUCUGCACAUCUUGAAAAAGAGACGAGAUUAUCUCAAGGAUUCAAUGACACGACCAAAAGAUUGAUGUCUUCUCCCAAGUGCAGGAGUGUCGAAGUAAUAAAUAACCCAGCAAGAUCGGGGUCGAACCAUAGAGAAGUUAAUUGUACAAAUUAUAAAUAACAAUAAUACAACAACAACAGUAACAACAAUAACAACAAUAAUUAUAAUAGUAAUAAUAGUAAUAGUAAUAAUAAUAAUAAUACUUAGUACGUAGCGUUGUUAUACUUGAGAAUGGUCUAAAAGAUCGGGUCACAGGUUUCCAGCCUAUAUACUGAGUUUAUGAAAAGAUCAAAGAGAUAUAUUAUAUAAUAUAAACAGAAUGUAAAUAAUAAUAAUAAUAAUAUUAAUAGUAAUAAUAAUAAUAGUAUUAGUAGUAGUAGUAGUAGUAGUAGUAGUAGUAGUAGUAGUAAUAAUAAUAAUAAUAAAAAAAAAAAAGAGGAGGAAGAAAUUAAUGAGAACUUUGAGAUGGAAGAUUAAUGUAAGGAUUAAACAAUGAUAAAAACAAAUGUCAAGGUUAGAGGAUCCACCAAUGGUAUUUCAAAUAAGUAUAGUAUAAACUCUUAUUACUCAAUUGAAAACCACACAUGAAGGAGGUUCCAAUCGGAUGAUUGUCAUUAAUAGCUCAAUAUAAUUUAUUAACAUGAUCAUAUUAAUUAUCUUAUUUACAUAACACCAAACUUUUAAAUAUUAUUAGGAAUUCAUGAUGAACUGAUGUUAACAACAAAUCAAGUUCCUUUCAUAGCACAGGUGUAGGUAAUACCAUACGGUUGUGCUAUGAGAGUGCCAAGCAUUUGUUGUACCAAGUGUUAUACAACACAAAUCUAGAUUAACCAUUUAACAAGCAAGGUAUUAAGAAUUAGUAAGAUAAAAAGAUAAGACAUGUUAAUAUUAAACAUUAAGGUCCAUGUUGAGUUUACACUAUACUUGUUCUUACACCAUUAGUGUAACCUUUUCACCUUGACAUAAUAAACUUAGCUAAACAUAAUGAAGAAGAGAAACAUAAAUAAACAAAACAAGAACAUAAAGAAAAUACAAGUUAACUAAGUAAAGGAAAGGAAAUGAAAAGCAUAAACAAGAUAUUAAUGAAAGCAAAACUUAAAAAUUACAAAAAAAUAUAAAGAGAGAAAUAAAGAGCAUGAACUUGAUCUGAACAACCAAGCCCUCAAAUACAUGGCAAAUGCCUCCUUUUAUAGGCCAAAAUUCAGAAUUAUUGAUUUGAUGACUAAUUGUUGAGUGGGUGGCCAACUUUUGACUUGGUGAAAAUCCUUAUCUUCUUGUCUGAAUAAAACAAAAAUGCUACCAUGAACUGGGUCCACUUGAAAACAUGAAAGUUGUAGGAAAUUGUCUUAGCUUUCCAGAAACAAAAAAAAUGGAGGUCAUUUGGACUUCUAGAACUCCAGAUAUGGGCCAAACACUGAACAUGUUCGGGCUGCAGGACAGAUUCAGACUUCUCCAUUGUUGCUAUAAUUUGGACUUGAAAACGGCCUUCUUAGAUCUUGAUGAAAACAUGAAAGUUGUAGGCCUAUGUCUUACAAAUCUGUGUAAAACAUUUGAGUCAUUUGGACAUCUAGAACUCGAGAUAUGACCCAAUUACCGAACAGUGUUCCAGUUUGGACUGCACCAACAUCUCUUUUCUAAGUUUCACCCUUCUUUAUCUUCAAAAUUUCAGUAGUUGAAUUCAUCAAUCAAUCCUUUGAUUUAUGUGAUAUGCCUGCAUUUAAGAUGAACAUUUACCAUAUAUUAGGGCAUUUUAUAGUAUUAGACUUGUUAUUAUAAAACAUGCUUUAGUUAAGGAGUUAUUGAUACUUUAAGUGCAAAAUGAUGAUAUAAAACCUUGAUAAAUAUGCACUUUUAAGUACUAAUCACACCCCCAACCAGCUUAUUACUAGUCCCUAGUAAUCAAAGCGUUAAAAUAGAAAAACAAUUUGCAAAUUCCACAAAGCAAGGCAUUCAUCAUUCAACUUACUUUAAUCUAUCCAGAUAAACAAACUCUCAUUAAAUUCAUAUAUCUGCUCAAUACCUCUUAAACAAGAUAUUACUAAACCUUUCUUUUGUGCUCAAAAUAUCAACAUAUAGUUAUGGGGCUUUACUUGGAAGAAAAACAAAUUUUUGCUCUAAUGUUUAAGGUUAACUUCCUUAGGUUGGGAUUAUUAUUUAUUUAUUUAUUUAUUUAUAUACACAUACAACUUGAAACACAAUGUAUCUUUAACCCAUGUAACGAGUUUUAGGCUAAUGACUCCCAGACUAGUUGGUCUUAGGGCAUUAGGUGUUGAGACACCCCUACGAGCUUACAACUCGGGUUGCAGAUACUGAUACGUAGAUAGUGCAAUGUUUGAUUCCCUUAAGCUUUUCUCCUCAACCCAUGUAACAAGCGUUGGGCCAAUAGCUCCCAAGUCAGUUGACUUUAGGGUAUUAAGUGUUAAAACACCCCUUCGGGCUUAAUUGCUUAGGUUAGGGAGGCUACGAAACCAAACUUAUCUACCUUUUUAUUAUCAUUUUUGUUUUUUUUUUGCAAAUUAUAUACUAUCCCUUUCCCUUAGUUGUUACCUUUAACAAAAGAACAUAAAUAAUGUAAUAAUCCAAUGUGCAACCCACAAUCAUAUGUUAAAGUGUGUGUGUGAAAAUGAAGAUUUAAGAAUACUUGUUAAAUGAGCAUAUGAGCAGAAUCAAGUGCUACCAAUACGAGAGUUUGUAAACCUGAAUAUUUCAAGAAGUAUUCUGAUAGACCUGUUAAGAAUGUUUACUAAGAUGCGUCUCAAGAGUCACUUUAACAAAAGAACUCCUUUUACUCUGCCAUCCUAGUAACAACAGUUUUGCAAAUAGUUUAUGAAAUAGAAAACACAGUUUUUUUUUUUAAUAUCAACUACUACCCUUUCCCCCCAACCAAAAUGAGACAUUGUCCUCAAUGUCUUAAGGUAGAAAGAUAGAGUAUAGAAGACAUCACCUGAAAUAGCAAACACUAACAAACCUGAAACACACUUAAACAAAUAUAAGAAACAACAAAACACAAUAAUAAAACCAAAAGACGCAAAUAUUUAUAGAUGAGAAAUUGAAAAUGCAAUCACACCACCUAUAUGUAGGCCAGUCGUAGUCUCACUCUCUUUCUCUCUUAUAUUUAUUUAUUUAUUUUGAAAAAGCAUGUGUAUGUACAGGUAGUUGUGAUUGUGGCUCACAUCUUUUCUUGGUUUUACGUCCAAAAACGGCUUAAACGCCCUCUAUGGGUCGGGGAUAGGCUUCCCAUCCAGUUUUCUUAAAAACUGGCAAACAAGGUCUUUUUUAGUCAGAUUCCCAAGACUAAGUCGAGCAUGUUCUUUAUGGAAUUGGGGCCAUAAAUCAUAAAUUGCAUGAUGCACAUCUCCACUAGGGUGCGUCUCAAGAGUCAAUAGAAGAUUAUCUAAAGACCCCUUACUCAGGCCAUCCUUAAUGAAUUGUAUUUUAUCUUCACGGUUUACAGAUACCAUUCCUAAAGAACGACAUGUCGCAUUACAAGUCCAUCUGGCACAUCUGUGACAGACUUGCAGUCGUUUUGCACGACGUUUCUUUGCAAAAGUGCUUUUACCUGUUCCAGGCAUGUGUGAAAUGAAAGAAUUGAAGGACUCACCUGAUAACCGACCUUUGCUUCAAUCAGCCAACGAAUAUCUUCAGGAAUUCCAUGGUUCAUUAACAACCUCAAUCUUGCACAUCUAGCACGGUAAAUUUUUGUAAUCGCAUUCUGAGGCAGAGCGGGAAAAUACUUUUUCAAUUUUUCAAGAGUGGUGUCCAUUUUCAAAUGAGAAUUGGAUGAGAGAUUCAAAGAAAUAAGAAAGAGCAGAGAAUUGCAUAAAUAUAUACACAGAUAUCAGUUAUCAUGGGAAACUGAAAGAACCGACUUAAGAGUCACGGAGUACCGUUAUCCGCCAUUUGACCGGGGUGAGAGAAACUAGCAAAACAAAAGUCACACCAAAAAGGAACACAAAAAAAAUGUGAGAAAAACAAAAUAAUCAACCUUUAUCUAACGAUCAUUCAAACCAAUGGAUUCAUUUUCACUAGGAAACUCAUCAAAGUAAGCUUUCAAACGAUGUCCAUUUACCUUCAAAACAUUGUCAUUCUUUGAAUUCUCAAUAUCAAGGGCCCCAUAAGGAUACACAUGUUUCAAAAUAAAUGGACCGCUCCAUCGUGAUCUUAUUUUUUCAGGAAAUAAAUGGAGUCGAGAAUUAUAAAGCAAAACUUUUUGACCAGUAUCAACUUUUUGACAAUUUUCACAAGUUUUGCAGAAUGCAUGCGUGUCCUUGAACAUGGUGGGCCAAUAAAAUCCUUUUUGUAAGAUUUUUGCAGUCGUCUUUCUUGAUGAGAAUUGACUCCCACAUGCUUCAGAAUGACAAAGUUUAAUGACACUACUUACCUCAUUGUCAGGAAUGCAUCUUUGAAAUUUUUGAUCAGGACAAUAUUUGAAUAAGUUAGGGUCAUCCCAAUAAAAGUUCUUCACUUCGUUCAAAAACUUUCCUUUGUCUUCAGUACUCCAGUGAGCUGGCAAAUCCUGAAGCAAGAAAAUUGAUAUUUUUAGCAAACCAAGGCAUUGAACUAAGAGAAAGUAAGGAUUCUCAGGAGAGUAAUCAUCGAUUGUGGAUGUCAGAUGUCAAAUCUGUUGUCACUCUUGACAAAAGAUGCAUCAAUAUUUUUGGUGCCUUUUUCAUCCGUGAUUUCUUCCUGAGAAUAAAUCAUUUGCAAUCUUCAGAUUCAUCCAAUUCAAUUUUACUCAAAUAGAUUCAAUUGAUCAUGAACUAAUUCUGACAAGCACAUAGCAAAACAAUUCGGAGAGGAGGAGAAGGCUUUAUUGAUCUGCACUGGGAUUGAGAGGUUCGAGUUUCCCAGGGAGGCUAAGCCAGUUACACCCUUAGCCAGGCCUUUCAGCAAAACCAGUUCGAGAACAGGAAAAGAUGAAAUUAUCGAUCGAGGAAAGAGAGCCUAGGUUAUUGAGCAAGGCGAGAUAGUCAAUAAGGGCAUCGUUGAGGGUAUUAACUUUCUUGUAGUCAACAGUUUCGAGGGGUUUCUAGAGGAGGAAGAUGAAAGAGUUGUUUGCACAAUUUGGACCCGGUGGACCGUCGCAAAUGUCCUCGCAACCGUAAGCACUAAGAGAAUUAGCGAUGGAACUGUUACAGGGACAUUCUGAUUUUGUAUGAUUUUCAUCUGAUAGUUCCUUACAUCUGUUUCAAGCAAUUGUUUUUAAUUAUAGGAUGGAAUUGAAUUGCCACGUUGUGAGUAUCAUUUACAAACGUAGUAGAGAAAUGUGAAAGCAGUGUGUUGUGGAAGCUUGUGUGGAUUAAUAAUGAAGUUGCCAAAGAAAAAAAAGAGCAACAGUUAUAGGAACCCAUCUCCUCUUCCUUACAUUGUUGUGCAAGUUGUUGAUUUUGGCCACUAAAAAUGACCCCAAAAUCAGAAUUGGAGGAGCUACGAUUAUUAUUAUUAUUAUUAUUCUCUUGAAGACCAAUAAUGGUGGUGAAUCUAGGAGAAAAGGACUUGUAAGAAUCUUGCAAUUCUUGUAAACAAUUGUUGUUUCCUGGCUUAGCAGCAAGAUUUGGAAAACAAAAUGGGUUGAGUUCUUCAUCAUCGUCAUCAAAAGUCAAAGAAAAAGGCUUUCAUAAUUCUCAUAUGUUGAUAUUGCUGUGUCUUCUUUUUUAAUUAAUAUUGAUAUCGAGUUAAUUUAUAUAUAUUUCUAUUAAUCUUAAGAAUUUUAAAAUUAAUAAUUAUAAAAGUUUUCAGUAAUCUUAAAACAACUCAAACUUAUAAUUAUUAAAAAAUUAAUCUAAAACUUUAGCAGCUAACUAUAUUUGCUACAGCUAUUUCUGUUUGUAGUGCUGUUUGAAGUGGUAGUAGCAGAGGCAAGGUUGUCAAUUCCGUUCCGUUCCGCCCGGAAUGGCCGAAACAUUCCAUACCAAUUCAAAAAACGGAACAAAUUCCAUCUCAUUUUAAAUCUCGGCCCGUUCCGGAAAUUCCGGCCAAAUUCCGGCCGAAACGUUCCGGUUUCAUUCCGGUUGUUCCGUUUCGGCCAAAAAAUAUUAUUUUAAAAAAAUUAAUAUAUGGUUUAUAUUAUUUUAAGUUAAAGAUCUAUUUAAUCUUUACUAUUUAAAAAUAUUUUAAAUUUUAAAAUUAUAUUUGUUUGGCAUUAUGUUUGUAUUGCAUAAUUUAUAAUUAAUUUAUCUUGAAUUUGAAUUAUGUUUGUGGAAUAUAUAUAUAUAUAUAUAUGAACAGUACAACCCCGAAACGGCACGCCAAAACACUCCGAAACCGAAACAUUUCGUUCCAAUUGAAAAAACGAAACACCUACCGAAACGGAAUUGACAAACUUGAGCAGAGGUACAGUUGCUUAGCAUUGCAUACAAAUCUCUGUCCAUUUUAUAAAAUUAGGUGGGCCAUAUAAGUGGGAGCUAAUGUAGUAAAAUAAAAGUGGCUGCAUGAGUGGAGCCUAUUUAAAUUCACCAUAACGACAGCAUUAUUGUUUGAAGUUUAAAUUUACUGUAACGAUAUAAUUAUUGUGUGAAACUUAAAUCAACCAUGACAAUUAAACUGAUAUUUCAAAAUCUAAAUCGGUUGCAACGGUGGACCUAUUUUUUUAAAAUUUUAGGUGUUUUUUACUGAUGCAGGGGUAGGCAUAUACAAACUCAUUUUUUUUCUCUAAUUUCUUUUAAUAUAUGCAUCCUUUUAUUCAUUUAUUUGAGAACACGAACUGUUAUUACAAAGCUAGAUAGGCCUGUCUUUGCCCUUAGCUUAAUGAAGGUAGAAAAACUCAACGAAAGCAUGCAUACAGUACAUGAUGGAUGGUAUAACCGUAUAAAUACAUCAUCUUUUUAGACUUUUCUGGUAGGAAAUUCGUAGUCUGCGCAAUUGGUCCCCUUGGACAAAAUUGAUGAACUGAAACCCAGUUUCUGUGACUGUAGAUCGAAUUGUAGCAAAUUGUCCUCCAACUGAAGACCACCAAUCAUGAUCGAUGGGCCAUCAAUCCCACCAUCCACAAAACCCAAGCACCAAAGAUCAACACUCUUCUUUGUAACCCUCACCAUAGAGUUCGAUCCAAACAUCUUCCAAACCACAUCUUGUCUAUCCAACACAAGUUCGAUUAUUGGUACAGCCGGUCCCAUUUGUGUCGUCUUCACAGCACCCGCAGGGUAGCAGACUUUGAAUGGCUUGACAGGCUUUGUUGUAGUAAGAUUGAAAGCAGAGGAAGCUGCUUCCUUCAAGAAAGCCAGAGUAAAAGCCUUGUAAAUAGAACUGUGUAACUUCAUGUAUGGCACAAGAGUGCUAAUCCUGGUCCCCCAGAACCUCGAUCAUCAAAGGCCAACAGCGCUUUGUUAAAACCACCAUCUUUCCGUUCACUUUUAUGGAAGUCAGCCCUACAUAAUACUCAGGAGAUCUGUGGGAAUACGGAUCAGAAUCUCUUCCAAACGGGUUAAAAAUAAGAGGAGUGUAAAGAAGUGAUUUUGAGAGGUCAAUUCCAUGCAAGAAAUUAUAAGGCCCUUGACUACCGAAAAGAGCCACACCAGGUUGAGAGAUGGAUCCUGACAAGCACAUAGCAAAACAAUUUGGAGAGGAGGAGAAGGCUUUAUUGAUCUGUACUGGGAUUGAGAGGUUCGAGUUGCCCAGGGAGGCUAAGCCAGUUACACCCUUAGCCAGGCCUUUCAGCAAACC
rnacentral:lncRNA from 1 species